CACGUAGGGGGCGAGCGUUGUCCGGAUUUAUUGGGCGUAAAGAGCUCGUAGGCGGUUUGGCAAGUCGGGUGUGAAAUUUCGAGGCUCAACCUCGAAACGCCACUCGAUACUGCCAUGACUGGAGUCCGGUAGAGGAGUGCGGAAUUCCUGGUGUAGCGGUGAAAUGCGCAGAUAUAGGGGAGAACACUCGUGGCGAAGGCGGCCAGCUGGACCAGUCCUGACGCUGAGGCGCGACAGCGUGGGGAGCAAACAGG
rnacentral:rRNA from 1 species